rnacentral:rRNA from 1 species
GAUGAACGCUGACAGCAUGCUUAACACAUGCAAGUCGAACGGAAUUUGGCUGUUUUUCUGGGGUUUGGGAGGCGGAAGCGUGAGUAUCACGCAUAAAACUUCUCCCCCAGCCAUGGGCAUAACUUGGAAAAACAUGCUAUUAUCUCAUAUUAUGAUACCAGGGGAUCGUAUAGUUAUGAAAGCUAUAAGCGCUGUGAGAGAGCUUUGCGUCUCAUCAGCUUGUUGGUGGGGUAACGGCUCACCAAGGCUUGGACGGGUAGCCGGCCUGAGAGGGUGAUCGGCCACAUGGGAACGAGGACACGGCCCUUACUCUUACGGGAGGAAACGUGGGGGAAUAUGGAACAUGGGACGAAGAGUCUUGUCGAGCAAUUGUGUGUGCACUAUGAACUUUUUCGUUAUGUAAAGUGCUUUCAUGUGGGAAGAAGGAAAUGACGGUACCAAGAGAAGAAGCGACGGCUAAAUACGUG